rnacentral:rRNA from 1 species
GCUAUUAUUCUUAACAGAACUUGCCUGCCACGUUCUUUCUCCUUUGUUAUUUGAUGUUGCAAAUCCUUAUCAAUAGUUUCCUGUUUUCUCAGUCUAACUCUCAAUUCAUUCCACUUGUUCAUGUUAUUAAUAUGCUCAAUGUUAUUUUCAUGUUCUUUGAGCUUCUCACUAAUAUGCCUCCAAUGUCCUAGUCCAUCAUGUGCUAAGGAACUCUGACUCCUGUUGGUGCUAUACUUGAAGAUCUUACAACAGAAGCAAAAAACUUUAUUGACAUUUUUUGAAUAA